ACUCAAAGGAAUUGACGGGGGCCCGCACAAGCGGUGGAGCAUGUUGUUUAAUUCGACGCAACGCGAAGAACCUUACCAAGGCUUGACAUGGAGUCGCAACAUCAAGAGAUUGAUGCCUCUCUUCGGAGACGGCUCACACAGGUGGUGCAUGGUUGUCGUCAGCUCGUGUCGUGAGAUGUUGGGUUAAGUCCCGCAACGAGCGCAACCCUUGCCUUUAGUAGCUACCAGAUAAUGCUGGGCACACUAGAGGGACUGCCGUGGAGAACACGGAGGAAGGUGGGGAUGAUGUCAAAUCAUCAUGCCCCUUAUGUCUUGGGCUACAAACGUGCUACAAUGGCGCAUACAAAGUGAAGCUAAGCUGCGAAGCAGAGCAAAACACAAAAAGGCGCCUCAGUUCGGAUUGCAGUCUGCAACUCGAGUGCAUGAAGUUGGAAUCGCUAGUAAUCGCGAAUCAGCAUGUCGCGGUGAAUACGUUCCCGGGCCUUGCACACACCGCCCGU
rnacentral:rRNA from 1 species